rnacentral:rRNA from 1 species
AUGGCAGAUGCAGGAGCUAAUGGGGGUGGUGAUGCUUAUGAUCCAAUGGAAGAUCCAGAACGCAGGCCACGGAGGUCAAAUGAUCCAGGCUGGAAUUAUGGGUAUUGGUUGAAACCUGGCAACAUCAAUAAUGUUGUGUGCAAUCUUUGUGGCAAGAUAACUAAAGGAGGGAUCAAGAGACACAAAGAGCAUCUUGCUGGCACUGGUGGGGAUGCAACAGGUUGUCCAAAGGCUACCACACAGCUUAGGAGGGAGAUGUUAGAGUAUUUGGAAAAGAAUAGGAGAAACAUAGGACAGCCAGAUGAUGAUGAUGAUGUAGUAGUGGAGGUAGAUGCAGCAGGGACAGUUCAAAGCUCCACUAAUGCAGCAGCAGUUCAAGGCUUCGCUACAAGACCAAGUUCAGGGACAGCAGCCAAGAAGAACAAGAAAGCCUUUGCGGUAAAAAUGUCAGGCAAAAAGUUUCAAUCUGUUGCAACCAAGUCAAUUGUUUCCAUGCUUAGGAAAAAACCUGAGGAUGUUGUCGAUGAAAGACGCUCCGGUUGCUCUCAAAGCACCAUGGAGUCCAGCACAAAAACACCGGAAGAGAGGCACUAUGUGAGUAUGCAGUGGGCAUUGUUUUUCUAUGAGUGUGGCAUUCCUUUCAAUGUUGCAAGCUCUAGGCAAUUCCAGAUUGCAAUAGAAGCCUCUUGUCAAUAUGGCUCGGGUUACAAGCCUCCUUCUCCUCAUGAGCUGCGGGAGCCAUUGCUUAGGGAUGGUGUCAAGGAAACAAAAAAGUUGAGGGUGACGCACGAGGUAGCAUGGAAGCAAUAUGGCUGCACACUAAUGUCAGAUGGCUGGUCCGAUAAAAGGGGACGCCACUUGAUCAACUUCCUUGUAAACAGCCCGGCGGGCACUUACUUCUUGGAGUCGGUUGAUGCAUCAAGUGAAUGCCAAGAUGCUCGGAUGAUAGCAGAUUUGCUAGAGAAGAGAAUCGAGGAUGUCGGUAAAGAGUAUGUUGUCCAAGUUGUCACCGACAAUGGUGCGAACUACAAGGCAGCGGGCAAGAUACUAAUGGAAAGGAUUCCUACACUAUAUUGGAGUCCAUGUGCAUGCCAUUGCUUGGACCUAAUGUUGGAAGAUAUAGGGAAGCUAAAGGCAUUUAAGAAGCCUAUUGCACGGGGUAGACGAGUCACCACUUUCAUCUAUAGGCAUGGCAGAAUUCUUAGUCUAAUGAGGAAGGCAACGGGUGGGCUGGAUCUUGUGAGACCCGCAGCCACUCGCUUUGCCACAUCCAUUCUUGCUCUUAAGAGUUUGGUCAAGCACAAGCAAGCAUUGAGGAGUCUAUUUACAUGUCAAGCAUGGGUCGGAAACAAAUUGGCGAAAACUGCAGCCGGUUUGAAUGUGCAAGACAUUGUGCUUUCAGCAGAUUGGUGGCAUGCAAUUGAGGACUGCCUUAGAGCCAGUGAUUACGAGUCGAACGACUAG